rnacentral:rRNA from 1 species
GACCGUUUCACUACGGAAGGGCUGUAUUUAUUGGAUACCAAAACCAUCCUUCCCUCGGGAAGUUUUGUUUGAUGAUUCACAAUAACUGAUCGGAACGCCACUGUGGUGGCGACAGGUCAUUCAACAUUCUGCCCUAUCAGCUUUCGAUGGUUGCGUAGUGGACAACCAUGGCCAUAACGGGUAACGGAGAAUCAGGGUUCGAUUCCGGAGAAGGAGCUUGAGAAUUGGCUACUACAUCUAAGGAAGGCAGCAGGCGCGCAAAUUACCCAAUCCCGAUUCGGGGAGGUAGUGACAAAAAAUAACAAUACCGGGCCUUUUUGGGCUUGGUAAUUGGAAUGAGGGAGAGUUAAACGGACCAUCGAGUAUCCAUUGGAGGGCAAGUCUGGUGCCAGCAGCUGCGGUAAUACCAGCUCCAAUAGCGUAUAUUAAAGUUGUUGCAGUUAAAAAGCUCGUAGUUGGACUUGUGUGCGCUGUCCGCGGGUGGCCUGCGCCCAAAAGGGCGUUUCGGUUCGGCCCCGGUGGCGCCUUGAAAUCUGCAGCUGGGGGGACGUUGGCCUUAACUGGUCGGCGACCGCACGCCGGCUGCUCGGUUACUGUGAGAAAAUUAGAGUGUUCAAGGCAGGCAUUGGGUGCAAUUGAAUACAUUAGCAUGGAAUAAUAAAAUAUGGCUCCUGCCGUAUUUUGUUGGUUUUGACUGGUGGGAGUAAUGAUUGAUAGGGACGGUUGGGGGUGCUAGUAUUGAGCGGCCAGAGGUGAAAUUCAUGGAUUCGCUCAAGACUAACUUAUGCGAAAGCAUUCACCAAGGACGUCCUCUUUAAUCAAGAACGAAAGUUGGGGGAUCGAAGACGAUCAGAUACCGUCGUAGUCUCAACCAUAAACUAUGUCGACUUGGGAUCGGCGGUAGUUUUUUCAUUAAGACACUGUCGGGACCACGGGAGAAAUCAAAGUGUCUGGACUCUGGGGGAAGUAUGGUCGCAAGGCUGAAACUUGAAGGAAUUGACGGAAGGGCACCACCAGGAGUGGAGCCUGCGGCUUAAUUUGACCCAACACGGGGAAACUUACCAGGUCCAGAGAUGUAGAGGAUUGACAGAUUGAAGCUCUUUCUUGAUCACUUCGGUGGUGGUGCAUGGCCGUUCUUAGUUGGUGGAGUGAUUUGUCUGGUUAAUUCCGUUAACGAACGAGACCUCAGCCUGCUAGUGUAGUCGGCUGGAUUGCCUUUGGCGAUCCGUGAUUUCGACUUCUUAGAGGGACAAUC